rnacentral:rRNA from 1 species
GACGAACGCUGGCGGCGUGCUUAACACAUGCAAGUCGAACGAUGAAGAAGAGAAACGCGAACUUCGGUUCAAAUUUCACUUCGGAUUAGUGGCAGACGGGUGAGUAACGCGUGAGCAACCUACCUCUUACAAAGGGAUAGCCUCGGGAAACCGUGAUUAAUACCAUAUGACACAUUCAUAAGGCAUCUUAAGAAUGUUAAAGCUACGGCGGUAAGAGAUGGGCUCGCGUCCCAUUAGCUAGUUGGUGAGGUAACGGCCCACCAAGGCGACGAUGGGUAACCGGCCUGAGAGGGUGAACGGUCACAUUGGAACUGAGACACGGUCCAAACUACUACGGGAGGCAGCAGUGGGGAAUAUUGCCAAAUGGAGGGAACUCUGAUGCAGCGACGCCGCGUGAGCGAUGAAGGAAUUCGUUUCGUAAAGCUCUGUUCUAUGGGAAGAAAAGGACUGUACCAUAGGAGAAAGCCCCGGCUAAAUACGUG